rnacentral:rRNA from 1 species
UACAGAGGGUGCGAGCGUUAAUCGGAAUUACUGGGCGUAAAGCGUGCGUAGACGGUCAUGUAAGUCGGAUGUGAAAGCCCCGGGCUCAACCUGGGAAUUGCAUUCGAGACUGCAUGGCUUGGGUGCGGAAGAGGGAAGCGGAAUUUCCGGUGUAGCGGUGAAAUGCGUAGAGACCCGGAGGAACACCAGUGGCGAAGGCGGCUUCCUGGUCUGCGACUGACGCUGUGGCGCGAAAGCUAGGGGAGCAAACGGG